rnacentral:rRNA from 1 species
UGGGUUAGUCCGCACGAGCGCACCUUGCCUGUAGUUGCCAUCAGGUUAUGCUGGGCACUCUGCAGGGACUGUCGACGAAAAGCCGGAGGAAGGUGGGGAUGACGUCAAGUCCUCAUGGCCUUUAUGCCCCGGGCGACACACGUGCUACAAUGGGCGGUACACAGGGUCAGCCAACCCACGAGGGUGAGCGAAUCCCAAAAAACCGUCCUCAGUUCGGAUUGCAGUCUGCAACUCGACUGCAUGAAGUUGGAAUCGCUAGUAAUCGUGGAUCAGCAUGCCGCGGUGAAUACGUUCCCGGGCCUUGUACACACCGCCCGUCACAUCACGGAAGUGGGCUGUACUAGAAGUCACUGGGCUAACCUUCUUCGGAAGGAGGCAAGUGCCAACGGUAUGGCUCAUGACUGGGGUGAAGUCGUAACAAGGUAGCUGUAGGAGAACCUGUGGCUGGAUCACCUCCUUUCU